ensembl:rRNA 5S_rRNA 5S ribosomal RNA
AGACAUGGCCAUACCCAUUUGGCUUGUGAUACUGUCAGACUUCACAAGCUAAACAGUGUCAUGGCUGGUCUGUACUUGAAUGGGAGACCACCAAAGAAACCCAAGGUGCUUC